GAACGCUGGCGGCGCGCCUAACACAUGCAAGUCGAACGGACGAAGAGGUGCUUGCACCUCCGAGUUAGUGGCGGACGGGUGAGUAACACGUGAGCAACCUGCCUUACAGAGGGGGAUAACGUCCUGAAAAGGACGCUAAUACCGCAUAAAGUCAAGAUGUGGCAUCGCAUCAUGACCAAAGGAGCAAUCCGCUGAAAGAUGGGCUCGCGUCUGAUUAGCUAGUUGGAGUGGUAACGGCACACCAAGGCGACGAUCAGUAGCCGGACUGAGAGGUUGAACGGCCACAUUGGGACUGAGACACGGCCCAGACUCCUACGGGAGGCAGCAGUGGGGAAUAUUGGGCAAUGGGGGAAACCCUGACCCAGCGACGCCGCGUGAGGGAUGAAGGUUUUCGGAUUGUAAACCUCUGUCUUCGGGGACGAAAGAAUGACGGUACCCGAGGAGGAAGCCACGGCUAACUACGUGCCAGCAGCCGCGGUAAUACGUAGGUGGCAAGCGUUGUCCGGAAUUACUGGGUGUAAAGGGAGCGUAGGCGGGAAGGCAAGUUGAAUGUUAAAUCUACCGGCUCAACCGGUAGCCGCGUUCAAAACUGUUUUUCUUGAGUGAAGUAGAGGCAGGCGGAAUUCCUAGUGUAGCGGUGAAAUGCGUAGAUAUUAGGAGGAACACCAGUGGCGAAGGCGGCCUGCUGGGCUUUUACUGACGCUGAGGCUCGAAAGCGUGGGUAGCAAACAGGAUUAGAUACCCUGGUAGUCCACGCCGUAAACGAUGAUUGCUAGGUGUGGGGGGUCUGACCCCUUCCGUGCCGGAGUUAACACAAUAAGCAAUCCACCUGGGGAGUACGACCGCAAGGUUGAAACUCAAAGGAAUUGACGGGGGCCCGCACAAGCAGUGGAGUAUGUGGUUUAAUUCGAAGCAACGCGAAGAACCUUACCAGGUCUUGACAUCCUGCUAACGAAGUAGAGAUACAUUAGGUGCCCUUCGGGGAAAGCAGAGACAGGUGGUGCAUGGUUGUCGUCAGCUCGUGUCGUGAGAUGUUGGGUUAAGUCCCGCAACGAGCGCAACCCUUACUGAUAGUUGCUACGCAAGAGCACUCUAUCGGGACUGCCGUUGACAAAACGGAGGAAGGUGGGGAUGACGUCAAAUCAUCAUGCCCCUUAUGACCUGGGCUACACACGUACUACAAUGGCCGUUAACAGAGGGAAGCAAUACCGCGAGGAGGAGCAAACCCCCAAAAACGGUCUCAGUUCGGAUUGCAGGCUGAAACCCGCCUGUAUGAAGCUGGAAUUGCUAGUAAUCGCAGAUCAGCAUGCUGCGGUGAAUACGUUCCCGGGCCUUGUACACACCGCCCGUCACACCAUGAGAGCCGGUAACACCCAAAGUCAGUAGUCUAACCGCAAGGGGGACGCUGCCGAAGGUGGGGCUGGUGAUUGGGGUGAA
rnacentral:rRNA from 1 species